GUAUUCUUGCGCGCAUGAACCGUAUCCAUUCCGCCCUCCGACGUCGCCGCUCGCUGCCCGCAUGGGAAGCCGUCGGCACGUCGCGGAUGCGCGCCAAGCAAGCUUAAGGCGCGAAACCGGUUGAUGAGUGAAAGCCACGGAUCCCCGUGGCUUUUUU
rnacentral:ncRNA from 1 species